UGCUUUGACAACUAGCCGGUUUUCUCAUAAGAGUCAAUACUAAUAUUUUCGGAAUUCAUUUAAAUUUGAGAGUGUCAACUGUGUUUUUAUAGUUUGGAGAAAAUGCCUAAAUUUUGUGCUGUUGUGGGUUGCGUGAAUCGAAGCACCAGAAAUAUGGACAAAUUUAUUUUCCUUUCGCAGCAAUUAGCAACAAUAAAGGUAAAUAUAUACAGGAUGGGGAAAAGGGUGGAAGCUUUGGUUAAAAGCCUUGAAACGAGUGGAUUUAACGAAGCCAAAGUAAAGUAUUCCUAUGUUUGUUCGGAUCAUUUUAUUUGAGGUACAGUACCUACUUAUUAGAUUUACAGUUUCUAACAAAUUACUACAUUGGUGCUCUUUUAGGUAAACCUGCAGAUUUAUCAGAUGUGGACCAUCCUGAUUAUGUUCCAUCACAAAAUUUAGGAUAUCAAAAUAAAUCCACUCAUAAUACUUGUAAUGUUGAAAGGCACAGUUGUUUAAAAAAGAGAAAACUGAAUAAAUGUCUCUAGACUUUUGAA